GUGUGUGUGUUUGUUGCCGACCAAUUUUCAAUAGUAUUUCUUUCAAAACACAAAUUUACAUCAAGAAUCUUGCAAACCAAAUACAAAUACGUACAAUAU